ensembl:lncRNA
UGUUCCUGUAAUUAGGUUAUUACUGUUGUUGUUCUUGUUAUUUUUUUGUUUUUGUCUAAAUCUCUACAAUAGUCCACAAAACAAUCUAUCCCAAUCUGGCAACCCAAUUGGCGUCACCUCUGAGAGAGCGCGGUGCCUGAAUCCUCCAAUCAGAUUGCAUUAUCUCUGACUGACAGUUGUAUCUGCCAGUAGGAGUUCAGAGCAGCUGUUGCGCGCUACAUCCCGCCCCCUUUCCUGCGCAACGCUAAAACUGAACGGCAGCCGAGCGGAGCGUUAUAUUAAAAUGAUAUUUACAUAUUUAUGUAUUUAUAUCAGUUUAUUACCGCGCACAGACGGCGCGCGGAGAGUUAACAUUAACAUAGAAAUCCCGUCACUAUGAUAAGGAAGAGGAGGGUGUGGGGGUGAAGAUGAGGAUCAUCAGGGUGGGGCUUCUGAGAAAUAAGGCGCGUGUAGCGCGGUGUGUUCGCAUGAAUAAUACAGCAACACAGCUUCAUCUUACACACACACACACACAGUCAUACACACAACUAGUUUAAGGGUGGGAGUAUAAAGCAAUUAGCCAUGAGCAGCGUUUCCACGCUCACAGACUGCUACAAAACUGUUCCCUUGACAACAAAGAAACAGAGACCAGAGGAACGCUGUGUGUGUUUUCAAAGCUGUGAUGGACCCUUCAGACCCCUCAGUGUAUCGUCAGUACCGCCCCCCUCCAAGGGACUUGCUCCAGCUGCCCCGGACACUACUGUACCUGAUGAUGGCCUUUGUGGUGGUCGUUGCUGUGGCCUACGCUAUUGUGGGUCACCUGAUCAAAGACCUUGCACAUGAUAUUCUCGACUAUGCUCUUGGUCCCCAAGAGGAAGACCUGAAAGAGCUGAAUGAGACUGGCAUCUCCAGUCCAGCCCACAUGCCCCCAGCACUGACCAUGUCCCACCCGAAUGCUUUUCAUGUGUGGGAUCAGGAUGAUGUGGUGAUUCCGCUCUCUCCAGAGAAUAGCCCACAGGCCAGCCCCCUGCUGGCAGUCAUUCCCUACAUACCUCACUUCUUCCCUGCGCACGCCCACAGCAUGCCCUCCAGCCCCGCUGUCACACUGCAGCCUGAAAACAAGAGCCCAGGCCGGAUCCCGCAAACUGACCACAAAGUGGUCGGCUCCACCCCAGAGGCCCCUCUGAACUCCACAUACUUCUACCCCUGAUUUCUAAUGACCCUAUGUUACGGUCACAUCAGCACCCCAGCACCACUGAUGGAUUCUAAGGGAUUUCAAGGUUUUCCAUCCUGAUCUUACCUGCAUCAUACAGUUGAUCACCACAGAUAAUAACUUUGUUUCCUCAACCCUAAAUUUUAAUAGAAGUCGAUGGGCAGAUUCUUCAAACGAGUGCUCUACACAUUUUACAAUAAUAAUCAGUUUUAGUCAAUCUUUAUUCGUAUGUUCAAUUAUCAUAGACUGUUUUUUUUAAACAUGUUUGUCAGAACUUUUCUGAAAACUCGCUGGCUUACAGCCUUUACACAGGUUCCACCUAAUGGACAUGUAUACCAGAAAACCUCAUGGAAAGUGAAAGGGACGGGGACUACUUUUUUAUAUAAAAAAGUGAAGAACAGGGGCAAACAAAUAAGAUUACGUUACUAGGCUAAUCUUUACAUCACAGAAAAAAAUAGAUUUUAAGCAGCAAGUGCAGCACCAAGUCAGUGUUCGAAUCUAAGGCACUUUGAGAAGAACCAUUUUUUGAGCUCAGAACUCCAGUUCUUGUGGCGUAUUCCCAGUAUAUGUUGGUCUCUACCUAUAAAAAGAGCUCCAAGAAAGGGUAAACCAGUUGGUAAACCAGCAACAGGGUCAUGGUCACCCAAAGAUCACUGAUGCUCAUGGAGUUCGCACCUCACAUCUUACAGGAUCUGCUUUAAUAUCUUGGUGCCAGAUAUCACAGGACACCUACUGGACUGUAUAGUUGUUGUAAAAAGGCCUGAGAAGAACUUCAGCUUGGACCUGGGUUAAAGCCUGUUGGCGCUGGAGGACCAGAUAAGCCUGGAUUUACUCCCAGAAGCUUUUCAGAGGUGCUUUUGUGGGCAGUGUAAGGACAGGGAGGAAAACCUCACCUGCAGUUCGUGUCACCUGAGGAGAGACCAAAGACUUCAUGCUGGAGCAGGUGUGAUUUCUGUACGGGUGUCUGCUCUUUGUGGAUUUUUUUUGUGGAUUGAGAUGUUAUGUUUUUUAAAGUGCUUCACAGAUCUUUGGCUCUUUUAUUCAGGAUAAUAAUCUAUAUCUAAACUGGAGAAAGAGUUUAAACUAAAUAAAUUAACAACUGUUUUUGAACUGAACUGAAAU